CCUGGCGGCGAUAGCGCGGUGGUCCCACCUGACCCCAUGCCGAACUCAGCAGUGAAACGCCGUAGCGCCGAUGGUAGUGUGGGGUC
rnacentral:rRNA from 1 species